rnacentral:rRNA from 1 species
UACUAGAGUAGCACUCGCAUAUCAAUAAGCGGAGGAAAAGAAACUAACAAGGAUUCCCCUAGUAACGGCGAGUGAAGCGGGAAGAGCUCAAAUUUGAAAUCUUAAAGGGUUUCCCUUUACGAAUUGUAGUUUAAAGAAGUGUUUUCUGUUGAGGUUUUGGUAAAAGUUCUUUGGAAUAGGACAUCAUAGAGGGUGAGGAAUCCCGUAUUUGACCUUUACUUUCAACUUUGUGAUACACUUUCAAAGAGUCGGAUUGUUUGGGAAUGCAGUCCAAAAUGGGUGGUAAAUUUCAUCUAAAGCUAAAUAUUGGCGAGAGACCGAUAGCGAACAAGUACCGUGAGGGAAAGAUGAAAAGAACUUUGAAAAGAGAGUUAAACAGUACGUGAAAUUGUCAAAAGGGAAGCGUUUGACACCAGUGUUGUUUUUCUGAAAAUCAAUUAAAGAACUGUUUAUGCUAAGUUGUUUAGACUUUAUCAGCUAUCUGCUUAGUUUUGAGCUUUUCUUUAAUGCACUUUUCAGUUAACAAGUCAACAUCAAUUUCUUUUGCUGUAAAAAGCUUGAGGAAGGUGGCUUGAGAUUCGUCUUAAGUGUUUAUAGCCUCUUGCCUAUGCAGUCGGAGAGAUUGAGGUCUGCAGCGUAGAUCCUUCGGGGCUAAAUGCAUUUGUGCUAAGUUAUAGCAUUUUAUAGACAACUUGUUGACUAUGAUUUGUCUUGUAGCUUACUCGCUUAUGUUAUUUUACCUACGCUUAGGAUGUUGAACUCUAUCACACACAG